UCUUAUGAAUGAGAAAAGGAAGUGGCUUCUUAAGAUGGAAUCUAUUCCUAGUGAAGGUGCUGUGAA
rnacentral:pre_miRNA from 1 species